rnacentral:rRNA from 1 species
GAACGGCAGCACGGACUUCGGUCUGGUGGCGAGUGGCGAACGGGUGAGUAAUACAUCGGAACGUGUCCUGUAGUGGGGGAUAGCCCGGCGAAAGCCGGAUUAAUACCGCAUACGCUCUACGGAGGAAAGGGGGGGAUCUUAGGACCUCUCGCUACAGGGGCGGCCGAUGGCAGAUUAGCUAGUUGGUGGGGUAAAGGCCUACCAAGGCGACGAUCUGUAGCUGGUCUGAGAGGACGACCAGCCACACUGGGACUGAGACACGGCCCAGACUCCUACGGGAGGCAGCAGUGGGGAAUUUUGGACAAUGGGCGCAAGCCUGAUCCAGCAAUGCCGCGUGUGUGAAGAAGGCCUUCGGGUUGUAAAGCACUUCUGUCCGGAAAGAAAACCUCGUGGCUAAUAUCCGUGAGGGAUGACGGUACCGGAAGAAUAAGCACCGGCUAACUACGUG